rnacentral:lncRNA from 1 species
AGGGAGGGCCCACCAUGUCAGCGCCGCCGCCGCCGCCGUUUCUGUCCUAUUCUGCUCUUCCUGCCGAUCUGUGCGCCGCCUCUUCUUCAUCCCGUCCCUAGCAGCCGAUCCCAACUCCCGAUCUUCGGUUCGUUUGAGGUAUGACUCUGUAUUCGCCUGUUGGGGGUAUAAUCAAUUUGGGGGCUGGCUCCUUUUUUAAGCGUUUCUGAUUGAGAUGACGGAGGUGCAAAAUACUCCAGCAUAAUUGGUUCCUUGCUUAUGGAGUAUUUGUUAAUGUUGUAGUACUAUGUGAACAUCGAAUUC